CGUCUAAUAUUGUUAAAAGGUUAAGCGGCGUUGGAUACCCAAAGGGGGGAGGGAUUCCCCUUAGGUCGCAGGCUGUUUUUUUGGAGAGGAUGGUUUCAAGCCCACACUUGGGGAAUGGAGAACACGGGCCCCAAGAUUCCUUACGGGGAGGGCAGCCAGUGGGGGAAUUAUUGGGACAAAUGGGGGGCAACCCCCUGAUCCCAGCCCAUGCCGGCGGUUGUUGAAAGAAAGGCCUUUCGGGGUUGUUAAAGCACUUUUCAGUGGGUGAGGAAAAGGGGUAAUUCGUUUAAUAGGCGAUUUCCAGUUGGACGUUUAGCCCACAGAAGGAAGCACCGGGCUAAAUUCCGUUGCCAGCAGCCCGCGGUAAUACGGAGGGGGCCAAGCGUUAAUCGGGAAUUACUGGGCGUAAAGCGUACGUAGGCGGUGUGUUAAGCAAGAUGUGAAAGCCCCCGGGCUCAACCUGGGAAUUGCAUUUUGAACUGGCACGCUAGAGUCCUGAAGAGGGUGGUAGAAUUUCCAGUGUAGCGGUGAAAUGCGUAGAUAUUGGAAGGAAUACCGGUGGCGAAGGCGGCCACCUGGUCAGAGACUGACGCUGAGGUACGAAAGCGUGGGGAGCAAACAGGAUUAGAUACCCUGGUAGUCCACGCCGUAAACGAUGUCAACUAGUUGUUCGUGUCUUUAAGACGUGAGUAACGCAGCUAACGCACUAAGUUGACCGCCUGGGGAGUACGGCCGCAAGGUUUAAAACUCAAAUGAAUUGACGGGGGCCCCGCACAAGCGGUGGAAGCAUGUGGCCUUUAAUUCGAUGCAACGGCGAAGAACCUUGGACCAUCCCUUGGGACAUCCAUGUGAAGGCUUUCUAGAGAAUAGAUUGGCUGCCUUCAAGGGAACACUGAGAUCAGGUGCCUGCAUGGCUGCUUCGUCAGCAAUCGUGUUGUGACUGAUGUUCAGGGUUAACGUCCCGGCAACGGGAGCGCAACCCUGUUAUCCUUAGUUGCCAGCGAUUCGGUCGGGAACUCUGGGGAGACUGCCGGUGAUAAACCGGAGGAAGGUGGGGACGACGUCAAGUCAUCAUGGCCCUUACGGGAUGGGCUACACACGUGCUACAAUGGCGCGUACAAAGGGCAGCGAACCUGCGAAGGUAAGCGAAUCUCAUAAAGCGCGUCGUAGUCCGGAUUGGAGUCUGCAACUCGACUCCAUGAAGUCGGAAUC
rnacentral:rRNA from 1 species